rnacentral:rRNA from 1 species
GAUGAACGCUGGCGGCGUGCCUAAUACAUGCAAGUCGAGCGAACAGACGAGGAGCUUGCUCCUCUGACGUUAGUGGCGGACGGGUGAGUAACACGUGGAUAACCUACCUAUAAGACUGGGAUAACUUCGGGAAACCGGAGCUAAUACCGGAUAAUAUAUUGAACCGCAUGGUUCAAUAGUGAAAGACGGUUUUGCUGUCACUUAUAGAUGGAUCCGCGCCGCAUUAGCUAGUUGGUAAGGUAACGGCUUACCAAGGCGACGAUGCGUAGCCGACCUGAGAGGGUGAUCGGCCACACUGGAACUGAGACACGGUCCAGACUCCUACGGGAGGCAGCAGUAGGGAAUCUUCCGCAAAGGGCGAAAGCUUGACGGAGCAACGCCGCGUGAGUGAUGAAGGUCUUCGGAUCGUAAAACUCUGUUAUUAGGGAAGAACAAAUGUGUAAGUAACUAUGCACGUCUUGACGGUACCUAAUCAGAAAGCCACGGCUAACUACGUG